rnacentral:rRNA from 1 species
UUGUUGGUGGGGUGAUGGCCUACCAAGGCGACGACGGGUAGCCGGCCUGAGAGGGUGACCGGCCACACUGGGACUGAGACACGGCCCAGACUCCUACGGGAGGCAGCAGUGGGGAAUCUUGCGCAAUGGGCGAAAGCCUGACGCAGCAACGCCGCGUGGGGGAUGACGGCCUUCGGGUUGUAAACCUCUUUCGACAUCGACGAAGCCUUCGGGUGACGGUAGGUGUAGAAGAAGCACCGGCUAACUACGUG